AACGAACGCUGGCGGCAGGCCUAACACAUGCAAGUCGAGCGAGCAUUUCGGUGCUAGCGGCGGACGGGUGAGUAACGCGUGGGAACGAGCCCUUUUCUGCGGAAUAGUCCUGGGAAACUGGGGGUAAUACCGCAUACGCCCUUUUGGGGAAAGAUUUAUCGGAGAAGGAUCGGCCCGCGUUGGAUUAGGUAGUUGGUGGGGUAAUGGCCCACCAAGCCGACGAUCCAUAGCUGGUUUGAGAGGAUGAUCAGCCACACUGGGACUGAGACACGGCCCAGACUCCUACGGGAGGCAGCAGUGGGGAAUCUUAGACAAUGGGGGCAACCCUGAUCUAGCCAUGCCGCGUGAGUGAUGAAGGCCUUAGGGUUGUAAAGCUCUUUCAGCUGGGAAGAUAAUGACGGUACCAGCAGAAGAAGCCCCGGCUAACUCCGUG
rnacentral:rRNA from 1 species